ensembl:lncRNA
AUGGCCAACACCGCCUUGGGAGCCGCGGGGCGCGGGGGGCCCGCGGGAGGAACCCCCGAUUUCAACUCCUCGGGAGCGGACUCGCGCGGAGCCGCCAGAAAGUCCCCUCUUUUGUGCCAGAUCCCGCUAGGCUGCCUUAGGAAGGGAAUUUGGAGACAAAUAAAGCGCGGAACCCGCUCGGCCCACCCCUCCUCCGCCCUCGCCGGUCCCCUCCCGCCCGGGUGGAAACGUGCGGGGAGGGGGCCGGGUGCCCGAGCCGUCCCCGCGUCUCACCCACCAGCUAACUUGGAAAGGUGUGGGCGGAGCCGGCUCCAGCGGCCGGCGGCGGCUCGGGACCGCUCGCGGGGACCGCCCCCGUGGCUCCGGGCAUCGCCCGCGCCGGGCAACAAUGGGGUCCCGGCCGGGGCAGCCCGGGCGGGCGGUGCCCUGGGCGCGGGGGCGCACGCGAAGGUGGGGCGCGUGCAGGGCCAGUUGCGGAAGACGGUGGGGAAAUCAUUGUUUGGGUUCUCGAGCGACGCACGUUGCGGGCGAGGCGGGGGCGUCCUCCCGCCCAGCGCUUCACCUUGGCGGGAUGAAUGGGGGCGAGGCGGAGCCGCACGCCCAGUUCCGGACCCCCGGGAGAUGGGAUACCCGCCCUCGCUCGGAAUUUGGGCAGGAAGCGGGAGCUGUAAAUACCGGCCAAGGGGCUGCGGGAGAGCGGAGUCCGGCCCUCCCCGCCCCGCGCCCCAGAAGGGAGCCCCGAGAAGCGAGCGGCCCGGAGCUGAGUCCUCGACGCCCUUCCCGAGGGUCCCUCCCUCCCCGCUUCCGCGCCCCGGGGAGCGGAUCGACGCGAUUCUGGGGCGGGAGAGAGAGGAGGCGGGCAGCGCGGCCCGGUGCUCCCGCGGCGGCUGGGAGGGCGCGGGGUCAGCGCGGCGGAGAAGGGUCGGCGGGGGCAGGGCGGCGAGCGGACGGAAGCGGGCGCGCUGGGAGCAGAGCGGGCGCGGCGGCGAUCGCGUGCGCCACUUUCUUGCAAAGCUGGAACUUGGAUUUAAACAAAGUGAAACCGUUAGUCGCUAA